ACCGCUGUAUUAUCUUAGACUUUUUUUAUAGUAGGAAAAAGCAUCGAAAGCCGGAGUGUGGGACUUUAAUCCGCUAAAUCUGACUUACUCCCAUCUCAUAUCUCAUGUCAUUUCAGGGGACCAUGUCGGUCAAUAUGGAAUAAGUAUUACUUCAUGGGAGAAAAGAAAACAUUUAAGUCUCCUCUAUUGUACGGACUGACUGAUGCUUAAUCUGUUGUCUCAAUCUAAUCAUAAUUAUAGCUCAAGUUUCGCUAACAGCUUACCAUUUUACGGAGAACUCACAUAUAAAUACACUCAAAUUUUUCACCAUAAGACUACCUCCAAGUGUGGUUUACAGCUUUCCACUUAUACUUGAAAACCGAAUGCAAUGUUAGAGUACGUUUUCAGAGCCUUCCAUAUACUCUGUAUACGUCGGGAAAUCUGGACUAAAAUCAUGACGAUAUUUGUAUAGGUAGCUUCUAAAGCACUUAUAGCCACUGAGUUUUUGGGUCAGGUGGAAAUCCAUGUUGUCUAUCUAUCCACGAAUGUAUGUGCGGAAUCAGUCUGUGGGCCCACAGUAUUUUGCAUGAAGUUGCCACCGUUGCUGCCACAUUGUGAUGCUUUUGAUUCUCUCCUUUCUAUUUGCUGCUGUAGACGUCGCGGAUAAGCUUUAGAAUCGCGCGAAAUUUACAACAGCACCCAGUUAUUCUUCCUUUUCGCUGCUUGGCGCCAAUUAGAGACUCCAGGCGAAGCCAGGUCCUUCUCCACCUAGUCUUCCCAACGGAGUGGAAGUCUUGCCCUCGUUCACUACCAGAACGGCUCGGAGAUGUCCUUACCGGUCCUGACGGAGCUUCUUUAUCCGGGACCUUAAAUUUUUCGCACAUAAUGAAAAUCACCAAAUAAACUUUUCGCGCCCUCAAAGCACACAUUAAUUAACACUUGGAGGUCGACGGUCUUUCGAACAUAUGUAUAAGAGUUUGUACCAAGCUAGGAAAAAAAUUGCAUCGAUUCGGUUUGUAUGCACAGUUUAUACGGGUCAAAUUUGAUCAGAGGUUGUACCAACAUAGGAAAAAAAAUUUUUUGAUUCGGUUUGUUUAUGUGGACCAAUCCGGGUCAAAUUUGAUCAGAGGUUGUACCAACAUGGGAAAACAAGCCGGGUCAAAUUUGAUCAGCUGGUAAGUUUGUUCGAUAGUCUUAUGGUAUUUUUCAAAGUUAGCCUUUUAAUAACCGAUAAUAUUUGGGAAAUAUAUGUAUACUAGUAUCUAUCUAGUAGUAUCAUACAAGUUUCGGGCUUCCAAUGAUUCACUCAAAUUCCACAAGCUCUUUUUCACUGCAUCAUUCGCUCAUAAAUUAUUUAAAAUACAAGUACAUAGAUUUUUUUUAAUAUUUGCUUGACACGCUUUCAGCAUUUUUAGCACCAUAUCAUACAUAUUUUUUCGCCUUUCAUUGGUUUCAUUUUCACUAUAUGUGACCUGGUCUGCGGAAAGGGGGCUUAGGUGUCAAAAAAAUCAAUUUUCACUUUUUAGUUGAUUCGGAUGGAAGAUGAGAGUUGUUUAUUUUUUCUUUAUUAUUUUUUUUUUUUAUUAUUUUUUUAUUAUUAUUUUCGCACGUUAGCUCCCUUUUCGUAGACCAAGUCACAUAUAAUGUAGUCACUCUGUGUGUGAAAGUAAAGAACCGUGAUAUAUGUAUGUACAUACAUACGUCUCCAAGUGAUAUAUAGUCACCAAGUGGUAUGUAAGUCAUCAUUAUGAUCUAAGUCACGCCAGUGAAUCAGGGAACAAAAUCACCGAAGCACCCGAAGUACUCGUAAACGUUUUCGUAAGGAACAGCUGUUUUUCUAACACUGCAAUAAAAGAUAAUUCUUGAACGCGCUCAGCGCAUCGCUAAUAUUGUGUCACACAAGUUUUUCUCUCACUACCAAACUAUAGUCUACUGCGCCACUAAAUCACUAAACAGAAUCCCUAAAGCCGCAUCCUGAGCUUAGCUUCAAAAUUAGCUCACAUACAAAUAUACACAGGCAUAGCUGCAAUAAAAUAUUCAUAUUAAUCCAGUGCACUCACAAAACAACAAACACACGCCAUUUAGGUUGCACGGCAUAAAUUAUUUGUUAUAUAAUAAGUGUAAUAAUUUAAAUAGUUGUUAUGCUUAAGACACACAUGCUUUAUAUGUAAGCCUUAAUUAUUGAAAAUGAUGAUAAGAAUUGUACACGUUCAUAAAAAAGCAAUUAAUUAUUAGUAGUGGUUUAUAUGCAUAGCAUUUUGGAGUUCAUACAUACAUAUUACAUAGUAUAUGUAUAUAUCGUAGAUUUUUACAUACAUACAUAUGUAUACAUAUAUAAUUUCAUUCAUAAAAAAAUCUUUACGAAAUCCACGUCAAUAAAAGAUAUUUAAAAAGUAAUUGACCGAAGGUGUUUAACAUUAUUCUAUGGGGGUUUAUUGGACAAUAAAAAAUAAGUGAUAACGAUUUAUUAUUGUAAAAGUUGGACUCUAUGUCUAGAAUUGUUAGUUGCUAAUAAUAGUUAAAGUGUAAGACGUUAUCGACUCCAUAAGUAGUAAGCCACCCUUCUUGAGUAAAAAUAGAAGAAGGAAACUUGAGGGAGCUAACCGAAAAUGGUAUUCAGAAAUCGAUUCGCAUAAGAAUUAACGUAGCAAGACCGCCUUUAAGUUCAAAGUAACUUCUUCUAUAGGGUGGGCCAUAUAAAAUUUUAAAUUUCGAAGAUAGGGCGUAAAAGAUUGAGUGUAGCGUUUGCUGUAUGGCACGUAGCGCCGUUCUGCUGGAACCAAAUGUUGUCCAAGUCUUCCUCUUCAAUUUGCUUGAAGAAAAAUUCGGUUAACAUUGCGCGAUAUCGCUCACCAUUGAUGGUUACGGUUCCUUCUUCACUUUCGAAGAAAAGUGGGCCGAUGAUUCCACCAGACCAAAAUCCGCAUCAUACAGUGAUGCGUGCUGGGUGCAUUGGCUUCUCGACGAUUACGUGCGGGUUUUCUGUGACUCAAAUGCGACAAUUCUGCUUGUUAACGUAACCAUCGAGGUGGAAAUGAGCCUCGUCCGAAAAGAUGAUUUUUCGGUAAAAUUGACCAUCCUCGGUCAAACGAUCUUCUGCCCAAUUUGCGAACUGUAGAAUAGUGAAUAGCGACCCAUUUCGUAAAUUUUAGACUUUUUACUGAAUAUCUGUCACUUUCCGAAUGGUAUUUGACGUUUCCAAUGUCGAAAUAUAGAUAAUUCAAAUUUAAAACGUUAGAUGGCCCACCCGUUA